ACAAGCAGCGGAGCGUGUGGUUUAAUUCGAUGCUACACGAAGAACCUUACAGGGUUUGACAUGCAAGUGGUAGGAAUCCGAAAGGUGACCGACCCUUCGGGGAGCUUGCACAGGUGCUGCAUGGCUGUCGUCAGCUCGUGUCGUGAGAUGUUCGGUUAAGUCCGCUAACGAGCGCAACCCUCGUCGUGUGUUAUACGUGUCACACGAUACUGCCGGUAUCAAGCCGGAGGAAGUGGGGAUGAUGUCAAGUCAGCAUGGCCUUUAUAUCCUGGGCUACACACACGCUACAAUGGCAGAUACAAUAGGUCGCUAAACCGCGAGGUGGAGCCAAUCCUCAAAGUCUGUCUCAGUUCAGAUUGUAGGCUGCAACUCGCCUGCAUGAAGUCGGAGUUGCUAGUAAACGCAGGUCAGCUAUACUGCGUUGAAUACGUUCCCGGGGUUU
rnacentral:rRNA from 1 species